UACAGAGGUCUCAAGCGUUGUUCGGAAUUACUGGGCGUAAAGCGCGUGUAGGCGGCCAUCUAAGUCGGGCGUGAAAUCCCACGGCUCAACCGUGGAAGUGCACUCGAAACUGGAUGGCUAGAGUCCUGGAGAGGAAGGUGGAAUGCUUGGUGUAGAGGUGAAAUUCGUAGAUAUCAAGCGGAACACCGGUGGCGAAGGCGGCCUUCUGGACAGUGACUGACGCUGAGACGCGAAAGCGUGGGGAGCAAACAGG
rnacentral:rRNA from 1 species